UCAUGGGAUGUGCUAAUGGCCUGGGCCUA
rnacentral:piRNA from 1 species